rnacentral:rRNA from 1 species
ACGGCUCAGUAACACGUAGUCAACCUGCCCUGGAGACAUGGACAACCCCGGGAAACUGGGAUUAAUCCGUGAUAGGUCAUCCCAUCUGGAAGGAGGGAUGGCUUAAAGGGGCGCGCGGGCUUCUUCUGCGCGUCCGCUCCAGGAUGGGACUGCGUCCGAUCAGGCUGUUGGCGGGGUAAUGGCCCACCAAACCUGUAACCGGUACGGGCCUUGAGAGAGGUGGCCCAGAGAUGGACACUGAGAGAAGGGUCCAGGUCCUACGGGGCGCAGCAGGCGCGAAACCUUCGCAAUGCGCGAAGGCGUGACGAGGUUAAUCCGAGUGGUCCCCGCUGAGGGGACCUUUUGUCAGCUGUAAAUAGGCGGGCGAAUAAGGGGAGGGCAAGCCUGGUGUCAGCCGCCGCGGUAAUACCAGCUCCUCGAGUGGUCGGGGCGAUUAUUGGGCCUAAAGCAUCCGUAGCCGGUUCCGUAGGUCCUCUGUUAAAUCCACCCGCUCAACGGGUGACCUGCAGAGGAUACCGCGGGACUAGGAGGCGGGAGAGGCGGACGGUACUCCGCGUGUAGGGGUAAAAUCCUUUGAUCCGCGGAAGA